AAAUCUAUUUGCAAUUGAGUGUGUGUUAAGGAUGUAUUUGAAGGGAAUUUGAUUGAAUAUUUAAAUGUGGCUGAUAAGACAUCAUCUAUAAACCACAUCAGCUCUCUCUGUGGCCCUUGAUUUGCAUGGGUACAGCACGAGUGCUUAUCUUGUAAUGAUUUUCUACUAUUCUACAUUCUGUCACAGAGAAAGUCAGUGAGAAAUGCAGUGCGUUUAUAUGUGUGUGUGUUUAAUUAAAGGUGAGCACCAACUGAGAACGGAGUGUGUGAACUGCGUUGUGAAUGUGGCACGCCUUGGGGGCCAGGCCAGACCUGAAAAACCAGCUGCCGCUUUCAGUCCAGAGAGCUGAUAUGGCAUGUCGUGUCUACCUCUCUGCCAAGGGCUGAAACCAUCCCUCGCUUUCAACUUCUUCAGUUUUUAAUCACACCUGAAGUGAACAUUCAGUCAUUUCACCUGUUCAGACUCACUUCAGACAGAGUUUCCAUCUUGUUUUUCUGUCCCAGCUCUGUUAGCGGCAGCGUGUGUGUGAGGAAAGGAGCGUGUGGACUAUGCUCACUUCAGUCGACUGAAGGAGGGGGAGUGGAGGAAUUGAUACUGUGGAGAGACGGAGAACUGAUCGUACAGCGAGUGUGUAAGAAGUGGGAGAUGUUUAAGAAUCCGGCUGCAGACGGACACUUACCUGUAGCAGAAAGUGAUGAAUGGGCCAUUGUUUAAGUCAGGGGAACUGAGGACUGAUCUGGUGUAUAGAAAGGCAGUAGUCAGGUCUGUGAUGUGCACUGGAGGCCAGACAUAUGUGAGCGCACCUAUGAUCUAAUCAUUUAAAUACUGACCCAUGAUCUUAACCCAAAUCGAUCACAUUUGUAUUCUGUUGUGUGUAAUUGAUUGUUUCACCAAAUUGACAACAGUGACACACACAAGUUUAUGAAUCUCAUUUAGUUAAAGACAGAAUGGUUGAUUUACAUUACAUUAGGAACUGGCAGUUACGUUUUAAUCAGAAGCAAUCAUAACAGCUUAUUUAAAAUGACUGAAUGAAUAAAUACAUAAUUAUGAGCGGAAACAGAUUAAGCAGAAACUUAAUAGAAGUUUUGCAACAAGUUAUAACCACACCUUCAUUUUGCUAGCAGCAAACGAUUAAAAAGCACUUCAAGGGAAGAUAGAGAGACUGAGAGAGGGUGAAAGAUCACAGUCAAUGCUUUCUAGAAUUGCAGUUUUCUCCAGUUUUUUAAUUUCUGAACCAGAGAUGGCAUCUUUAAUGAAAAAAUGAAUACUUUUUUCUUUUAA
ensembl:lncRNA